GCCAGAUCAAACAUAUAAAGAGGCUUUGAGGAAAGAGAAGCAGAAUAAACGGUGUAAAGACAGUAAGGUAGAAGGGCUAAAGUGCGUGUACUUCAAUGCAAGAAGCAUCAGGAACAAAGUACCAUGGAAUUCUUUAUAUAGUCACCUGAGAGAAUGGAAUGGAGUUUGAUUUUCCGUGUCAUCUAAUUGACAGCAACUUCAACAAUGCUUUCUUGGAAGUAGGGGCAGAGGGGAUGUCAGGGAGCUGAUGUACGGUUAGAAUGACAAUGAAGUUUUUUGAAUCUUGAAUCGCACAUUAACCUAAAAGAAAACUCAUGCAAGACUUCCUUACCCAAAGAACAAACCAAAUGGGUUGAGGUGAAGAGCACAUUCAAGGUGAAAAUUGAGAAGCGCACGAAGGGAAUGUUAAAGGACUUUGAAUCAAAAUCAGAAUCAAGUUUAUUAUCACCGGCAUGUGACGUGAAAUUUGUUAACUUAGCAGCAGCGUUUCAAUGCAAUACAUAAUCUAGAAGAAAAACUAAGUAGGUAAAUCAGUUACAGUAUAUGCAUAUUGAAUAGAUUUUAAGUCAUUGCAAAAAAACCAGAAAUGUUUUUAAAAAGUGAAGUAGUGUUCAUGGUUUCAAUGUCCAUUCAGAAAUCAGAUGGCAGAGGGGAAGAAGCUGUUCCUGAAUCGCUGAGUGUGUGUCUUCAGGCUCCUGUGCCUCCUCCCUGAUGGUAACAGUGAGGAAAGGGCAUGCCCUGGGUGCUGGAGGUCCUUAAUAAUGGAUGCUGCCUUUCUGAGACACCACUCCUUGAAGAUGUCCUGGGAACUUUGUAGGCUAAUAUCCAAGAUGGAGCCAACUAAAUUUACAACCCUCUGAAGCUUCUCAUAUAGGUGUACCGUGGAUUGAAUGCUCUCCACAGUACAUCUAUAGAAGCUUUUGAAUGUUUUUGUUGACAUACUAAAUCUCUUCAAACUCCUAAUGAUGUAUAGUCGCUGUCUUGCCUUCUUUAUAACUGCAUCGACAUGCUGGGGCCAGAGAUCUUGACACCCAAGAACUUGAAGCUUGUCACUCUCUCCACUUCUGAUCCCACCGAGGAUUGGUUUGUGCUCCUUCGUCUUGCCCUUCCUGAAGUCCACAAUCAGCUCUUCCGUCUUACUGACGUUGAGUGCCAGGUUGUUGCUGUGGCACCAUUCCACUAGUUGGUGUAUCUUACUCCUGAGAUGCCAAAUCAGAUUAGGAGCUGUGGGAGAGAAGCUCAUGGGACCUAUCUCAUGUGAUGCUCUUCAACUCAAUGGCUUAUUCAGAAAGUCAGAAGGCAUGGGAUCCAGGGAAGUUUGGCCAGGUGUAUUCAGAAUUGGCUUGCCUGCGGAAGGUGGUGGAGGGAGUACAUUCAGAUUGGAGGAUUGUGACUAGUGGUGUCCCACAAGGAUCGGUUCUGGGACCUCUACUUUUUGUGAUUUUUAUUAACGACUUGGAUGUGGGGGUAGAAGGGUGGGUUGGCAAGUUUGGAGACAAAGGUUGGCGGUGUUGUGGAUAGUGUAGAGGAUUGUCAAAGAUUGCAGAGAGACAUUGAUA